UGCAAGUCGAACGAUAUAGUGGCAGACGGGUGAGUAUCGCGUGGGAACGUACCUUUCACUACGGAAUAGCUCUGGGAAACUGGUGGUAAUACCGUAUACGCCCUUAGGGGGAAAGAUUUAUCGGUGAAAGAUCGGCCCGCGUUGGAUUAGCUAGUUGGUGAGGUAAUGGCUCACAAAGGCGACGAUCCAUAGCUGGUCUGAGAGGAUGAUCAGCCACACUGGGACUGAGACACGGCCCAGACUCCUACGGGAGGCAGCAGUGGGGAAUCUUGCACAAUGAGCGAAAGCCUGAUGCAGCCAUGCCGCGUGAAUGAUGAAGGCCUUAGGGUUGUAAAAUUCUUUCGUCAGGGAUGAUAAUGACCGUACCUGAAGAAGAAGCCCCGGCUAACUUCGUGCCAGCAGCCGCGGUAAUACGAAGGGGGCUAGCGUUGUUCGGAAUUACUGGGCGUAAAGCGCACGUAGGCGGACUUUUAAGUCAGGUGUGAAAUCCCGAGGCUCAACCUCGGAACUGCAUUUGAAACUGGGAGUCUGGAGAUCAGGAGAGGUUAGCGGAAUACCGAGUGUAGAGGUGAAAUUCGUAGAUAUUCGGUGGAACACCAUCGGCGAAAGCGGCUAACUGGACUGAUACUGACGCUGAAGUGCGAAAGUGUGGGGAGCAAACACGAUUACAUACCCUG
rnacentral:rRNA from 1 species